rnacentral:rRNA from 1 species
GUAGGUGGCAAGCGUUGUCCGGGAAUUAUUGGGGCGUAAAGCGCGCGCAGGCGGUUCUUUAAGUCUGAUGUGAAAGCCCACGGGCUCAACCGUGGGAGAGUCAUUGGAAACUGGAGAACUUGAGUACAGAAGAGGAAAGCGGAAUUCCACGUGUAGCGGUGAAAUGCGUAGAGAUGUGGAGGAACACCAGUGGCGAAGGCGGCUUUCUGGUCUGUAACUGACGCUGAGGCGCGAAAGCGUGGGGAGCAAACAGGAUUAGAUACCCUGGUAGUCCACGCCGUAAACGAUGAGUGCUAAGUGUUAGGGGGUUUCCGCCCCUUAGUGCUGCAGCUAACGCAUUAAGCACUCCGCCUGGGGAGUACGGCCGCAAAGGCUGA